UACGAAGGGGGCUAGCGUUGCUCGGAAUCACUGGGCGUAAAGCGCACGUAGGCGGAUGUGUCAGUCAGUGGUGAAAUCUCCGGGCUCAACCCGGAAACUGCCAUUGAUACUAUCUGUCUUGAAUAUCGUGGAGGUAAGCGGAAUAUGUCAUGUAGCGGUGAAAUGCUUAGAUAUGACAUAGAACACCAAUUGCGAAGGCAGCUUACUACCCGAAUAUUGACACUGAGGCACGAAAGCGUGGGGAUCAAACAGG
rnacentral:rRNA from 1 species